rnacentral:rRNA from 1 species
AUUGAACGCUGGCGGCAGGCCUAAAACAUGCAAGUCGAACGAGUGGCGGACGGGUGAGUAAUGUCUGGGAAACUGCCCGAUGGAGGGGGAUAACUACUGGAAACGGUAGCUAAUACCGCAUACCAUCGGAUGUGCCCAGAUGGGAUUAGCUAGGAGGUGGGGUAAUGGCUCCCCUAGGCGACGAUCCCUAGCUGGUCUGAGAGGAUGACCCACCACACUGGAACUGAGACCCGGUCCAGACUCCUACGGGAGGCAGCAGUGGGGAAUAUUGCACAAUGGGCGCAAGCCUGAUGCAGCCAGGCCGCGUGUAUGAAGAAGGCCUUCGGGUUGUAAAGUACUUUCAGCGGGGAGGCGUUACCCGCAGAAGAAGCACCGGCUAACUCCGUGCCAGCAGCCGCGGUAAUAC